rnacentral:rRNA from 1 species
CCAUAUGGCGACAUAGAGCGGAACCCGAAAAACCCUGUCUCAGUUCGGAUUGGAGUCUGCAACCCGACUCCAUGAAGCUGGAUUCGCUAGUAAUCGCGCAUCAGCCACGGCGCGGUGAAUACGUUCCCGGGCCUUGUACACACCGCCCGUCAAGCCAUGGAAGCCGGGAGUGCCUGAAGUGCGUGAGCGCAAGCAGCGCCCUAAGGUAAAACCGGUGACUGGGGCUAAGUCGUAACAAGGUAUC